AAAGCAUGCAAUUUUUACUUAAAAAGCGAUAAAUAAUUUUACAACUACAUGCAAAGGAAGAAAAACAUGGGUCAAAUUCUCAUAUUUGUUUUUGCUUUGAUCAAUUUUCUUUCUCCAAUUCUUGUUGAAAUGACCACAACUACCAUUCCCUGCACUUCUAUAGAUGACUGUCCAAAGAUGCCUUUAGUUGUAAAGUGUAUUGAUAAUUUUUGUAACUACUUUGAAAUUAAGUAACAAAAAUUACAUGUUACCUCUAUCCA